rnacentral:rRNA from 1 species
ACGGGCCUACGGGAGGCAGCAGUGGGGAAUAUUGCACAAUGGGGGAAACCCUGAUGCAGCAACGCCGCGUGAGUGAAGAAGGUUUUCGGAUUGUAAAGCUCUGUUAGCAGGGAAGAGGAAGGACGGUACCUGCAGAGGAAGCCACGGCUAACUACGUGCCAGCAGCUGCGGUAAUACGUAGGUGGCAAGCGUUGUUCGGAAUAACUGGGCGUAAAGGAUGCGUAGGCGGCUAAACAAGUUAUAAGUUAAAUAUAUAGGCUUAACCUGUAGAAAGCA